GACGUAGGGAGCGAGCGUUGUCCGGAUUCAUUGGGCGUAAAGAGCGCGUAGGCGGCCGUACAAGUCGGUUGUGAAAUCCCGGGGCUCAACCCCGGGACUGCGUCCGAUACUGCACGGCUCGAGGCAGGUAGGGGAGAGUGGAAUUCCCGGUGUAGCGGUGAAAUGCGCAGAUAUCGGGAGGAACACCGGUGGCGAAGGCGGCUCUCUGGACCUGUCCUGACGCUGAGGCGCGAAAGCUAGGGGAGCGAACAGG
rnacentral:rRNA from 1 species